CUUAAAUGAAUUGACGGGGAGCGACCACAACGGGUGGAGCUUGCGGUUUAAUUGGAUUCAACGCCGGAAAUCUUACCGGGACCGACAGCAAUAUGAAGGCCAGGCUGAAGACUUUGCCGGAUUAGCUGAGAGGUGGUGCAUGGCCGUCGUCAGUUCGUACUGUGAAGCAUCCUGUUAAGUCAGGCAACGAGCGAGACCCACGCCCACAGUUGCCAGCGUACUCUCUGGAGUGACGGGUACACUGUGGGGACCGCCGCUGCUAAAGCGGAGGAAGGAAUGGGCAACGGUAGGUCAGUAUGCCCCGAAUAUCCCGGGCUACACGCGAGCUACAAUGGUUGGUACAAUGGGUAUCUACCCCGAAAGGGGACGGGAAUCUCCUAAAACCAAUCUUAGUUCGGAUUGAGGGCUGCAACUCGCCCUCAUGAAGCUGGAAUCCGUAGUAAUCGCGUUUCAACAGAACGCGGUGAAUACGUCCCUGCUCCUU
rnacentral:rRNA from 1 species